rnacentral:tRNA from 1 species
GUCGUCGUGGCCGAGUGGUUAAGGCGACAGACUAGAAAUCUGUUGGGCUCUGUGGGCUCGCGCUUUUUAAAAGCUGAUUGCU